GCAAUGUACGAAUGUGUGUUACUGUAUCAUCUCGGAAUUAUUAAGUUUCCAAAUGUAAUUGGCGUUAUCGAUGGGACGCAUGUCCAGAUUCAAGCCCCAGUUGUUGAUGAACCGGCGUAUGUGAAUCGGAUGGGUUACCAUUCCAUAAACACACAGAUCAUGUUUGAUGCCAAUUGUCUGAUUAGAGACAUUGUACCGCUGUGGCCUGGGGCUGUCCAUGAUGCCAGAAUCUUAAGGCAAAGUGGCCUAUUUCAAAUCAUGGAGCAGAAUGUUGUCGAUGACCAACAUCAAUAUCUACUUGGGGAUUCGGGAUAUCCGUGCAAGAGAUGGCUCCUCACUCCAUUUAUGAAUCCAGCUGAUGAGCACCAGCUGAUUUACAACCGGGCACACAAACGUACGAGAUCUGUUGUUGAGCGUUCCAUUGGAAUUUUGAAAAGGAGAUGGGCUAUUCUUCACAACGAAAUUCGAUUGCAUCCAUUAAAGUCGUGCAAG